AUGCACGCUGGCGGCGUGCCUCAUACAUGCCCGUCGAGCGAACAGACGAGGAGCUUGCUCCUCUGACGUUAGCGGCGGACGGGUGAGUAACACGUGGAUAACCUACCUAUAAGACUGGGAUAACUUCGGGAAACCGGAGCUAAUACCGGAUAAUAUAUUGAACCGCAUGGUUCAAUAGUGAAAGACGGUUUUGCUGUCACUUAUAGAUGGAUCCGCGCCGCAUUAGCUAGUUGGUAAGGUAACGGCUUACCAAGGCAACGAUGCGUAGCCGACCUGAGAGGGUGAUCGGCCACACUGGAACUGAGACACGGUCCAGACUCCUACGGGAGGCAGCAGUAGGGAAUCUUCCGCAAUGGGCGAAAGCCUGACGGAGCAACGCCGCGUGAGUGAUGAAGGUCUUCGGAUCGUAAAACUCUGUUAUUAGGGAAGAACAAAUGUGUAAGUAACUAUGCACGUCUUGACGGUACCUAAUCAGAAAGCCACGGCUAACUACGUG
rnacentral:rRNA from 1 species